rnacentral:rRNA from 1 species
ACGGAAGGCAGCAGUGAGGAAUAUUGGUCAAUGGAGGCAGCUCUGAACCAGCCAUCUCGCGUGAAGGAAUACGGCCCUAUGGGUCUUAAACUUCUUUUAUAGGGGGAUAAAGUGAGGUAUGUAUGCCUUUUUGUAGGUACCCUAUGAAUAAGCAUCGGCUAACUCCGUGCCAGCAGCCGCGGUAAUACGGAGGAUGCGAGCGUUAUCCGGAUUUAUUGGGUUUAAAGGGUGCGCAGGCGGCACGUUAAGUCAGCGGUGAAAUGUCGGGGCUCAACCCGGGCACUGCCGUUGAAACUGGCGAGCUUGAGUACGGAUGAAGUCGGCGGAAUGUGAUGUGUAGCGGUGAAAUGCCUAGAUAUGUCGCAGAACACCGAUUGCGAAGGCAGCUGACUAAUCCGCAACUGACGCUCAGGCACGAAAGCGUGGGGAUCGAACAGGAUUAGAUACCCUGGUA